AUGGUUUGGCCCACCAUAGUUAGUGCACUAGACAUACAUUAAAUCAAAUCAACUUUUGAUUAAUCAUCAUUAAACAUCAUAUAAUCAAGAUUAAAUAUUUAAUUUGAUAAACUAAACAUAAAAUCAUAAAAAUAUAGUCACAAAGGUUCUUACAAGCAUGAAAAAUGGUCUAAAUCAUAACCAAAUUACAUACAUAGCAUCCUUAGCACUUAUAUUCAAGAAAUAUAAUAUCAAAACAUAAUUUUUAAGUAGUUAUUUUAGAGGGACAGUGGCUAUAUAUUUUGUCCUAGUUUAAAAUACAUGAAUAAAUCUUCAAAUAAAAAGAGAAAAAAUAGAGAGAAAAGAAGUAGUAACCUGAAAGAGUAAAUUUUUACCUUGAAAACUUAGAUUUUCUUGAAAUAAAUUAUAUUAGCUUGUAGGCCAAGAGACGAGGAAUAACAUAUUCAAAUAUGGUGAGGAGUAGUUGAGUUUAGAGAGGGGAUUUAGGCAUUAGAGUAUUUCGGUAAGUGUUUGUAUUGUAUGAGAGAAAGAAGAAAGAAAGAGAAAAGGAAAAAAUGAAAAGAAAGAAGAAAAAGUUGGCAUUUAGAGAGGAGUGGAUUUGAGAAAUGAGAAUCUCUAACUUCACAUGCUUGAAGCCUGUGAGCAUCUGGUGCAAUUACAUGCUUUGUGGUGCACCAUAAACUCUCUUUUUUUAUUGGUUGAUGAGAUUGCAAUAGGAUAGAAUAUGUGAUUUUAUUUAGAUAAGAUGCUUAUGUCGCAUUGUAGGAAAAAAUGAUAAAUAAGAAAAGUUAGAUUUGUCUUGUAGUGGCAUGGAAAGUAAUUUAUAUUUAGCUUAUUUUAUCUUUAUUAUAGAAUAUUUGCAAAUUAUUUUUUUUCUCUUUUAAAUUUAAGGCUAGAACCAUAUAUAAAAUUCAUAGUCAGCAUGCUUUCGGUCUCAUAAUUACACUGUAGUAUUUUAUUACAGUUCGAAAAAAUAUUCUCUUUCAUAAAUUCUCUUUAUUCAUAAAAAAUCAUAUUUUUCUCUACUAAAUAUUUCAUCAUAAUUUCAUAUCCAUAAAUCAUAUAUUAAACACAUAAUCGUACUUAUUUUUUAUAAUCUUACUUAUUUUUUAUAAUCUAUAUGUAAUUGCAUAAUCCUAUAUUAAUUUCACAAGAAUAUAAAUAUUCUAUUAUGGCAUCAAAAAUUCAUAUCAUCCAAUUAAAUUCAUAAUCGUAGCAUAUUAUCACAUAAUCACUUGUAAUUCACUAAUAGGCACAAAUUCCAAGACUAUAGCACAGUUCCCAAGGCACUAAUAUUAAACAUGGUAUAUCACCACCUAAUUAAUCCAUAUUUCACUUAUUUUCUAAUAUUCUCCUAACUUGGACUUAAGUGGAUCAAUUAAUUGAUUGAUUGAUCUAAGAGGAUUUUUAAAUCCAAUAUUUCUUUAGCUUCCUAAAUUAUUCUAAUUGGCUACCUAAUUGAUGGAGUAGUCAUAAAAUCUUAUUAUUUAUAUUAUUCCUAUUAUUUACCAAUAAAGUACCUAAUUAAUCUAGAUAUCACCAAUUAACUAUCUAUUUACUUAAUUUAAUUACUGCUAACCAAUUAAUUUAUUACUACUACUUAAUUAUCAUUAAUCUUAAUUGAUCAUCACCUUAAUUAAGGACAAAUUACAAUUUAGUUACUACAAAUUCACAUUUUAGUCAUUGGGUUAAGUCCUCAAAGUCUUCCUUUUGUCCAAAUACUCCACAAGCUUAGAGAAUUUGUCUUUUAGUCCUUGGAAUAUUUUCCAAGUAGCCCUCAUCAAAUGUCAAAGCUGCACAUUAGUCCUUCCAUGGUUUGGCCCACCAUAGUUAGUGCACUAGACAUACAUUAAAUCAAAUCAACUUUUGAUUAAUCAUCAUUAAACAUCAUAUAAUCAAGAUUAAAUAUUUAAUUCGAUAAACUAAACAUAAAAUCAUAAAAAUAUAGUCACAAAGGUUCUUACAAGCAUGAAAAAUGGUCUAAAUCAUAACCAAAUUACAUACAUAGCAUCCUUAGCACUUAUAUUCAAGAAAUAUAAUAUCAAAACAUAAUUUUUAAGUAGUUAUUUUAGAGGGACAGUGGCUAUAUAUUUUGUCCUAGUUUAAAAUACAUGAAUAAAUCUUCAAAUAAAAAGAGAAAAAAUAGAGAGAAAAGAAGUAGUAACCUGAAAGAGUAAAUUUU
rnacentral:lncRNA from 1 species